rnacentral:rRNA from 1 species
GAAACGGGUUAAUAUUCCCGUACUUGGUGUUACUGCGAAGGGGGGACGGAGAAGGCUAUGUUGGCCGGGCGACGGUUGUCCCGGUUUAAGCGUGUAGGCUGGUUUUCCAGGCAAAUCCGGAAAAUCAAGGCUGAGGCGUGACGACGAGGCACUACGGUGCUGAAGCAACAAAUGCCCUGCUUCCAGGAAAAGCCUCUAAGCAUCAGGUAACAUCAAAUCGUACCCCAAACCGACACAGGU